GAGAGAGAGAGAGAGAGAGCAUGCAACACACACACACACACACACACACACACACACACACACACACACACACACACACACACACAUUUGACAAGGCUUUCCCAACUUUUCCUUUCGUGGAGGUUGUGUUUGCAUUUCCAUGGGUCGUUUUGAUGGCCUGGUGGUGAUAGUUUGUCGCUAGUUUGCGGAGAUGAUACAAAGUUAUGAUCCAUUUGGGUUGGAGAGGCGUCUUGAUAGUCCGCUCUUGGGAGUGUUCAAGUCGUAGGAAGGAGAAUAUAUGGGCGAAGAAAGGCUGUUCUAGAGUUUGCCAGCGAAAGGAAUGAAAGAAUGAAGGUGGUGGAUAACUUUUGCACUGGGAAAUCGGACAGCAUAGGGAUGAAAUAGAUACAUGAGGAUACAGGAUACAUGCAAACAGGAUUAAGCUACGAGAGUGAAAUGCAACGUAACGAAGACUGUUGUAGAGUUUAAAAGGAUGAAAGAGUGCAGGUACUGGUUAACUCUUGCAUAAGGGAGCGGGAUGGUGCUACAGGGGCCAAGUUACAUCAUAUCACUGACGUGUUUUUUCGGUAUAUAGAUAUGUCUCGGUAUCACAUGUAUUCUCACAGCCUGGCGUUCAGUGACUCACUCUGACAUAUUAAUAGUCGUUCAACAUUUUACUCAUAUCUACCCCAUUCUCAACGAGCUCUCCAGUGUUUGUUUUCAACGGUCCAAUUCUCUUCCUUGUUUUCGUUGUUUUAUGGUGAAGAUGAUGAAGAUGUUAGCCUCGUCGGGGAAACAGGGAAAGGUGCUGUAGAGUUUACCCGUGAACAAUGUGUGAGGGAGUGGAUGUCUUACUAAUAAAAACUAAUAAUAAAGAUAACAAUAGUGGAUGGCUAACUAAUAAAAACUAAUAAUAAAGAUAACAAUAGUGGAUGGCUAACUAAUACAAACUAAUAAUAAAGAUAACAAUAGUGGAUGGCUAACUAAUAAAAACUAAUAAUAAAGAUAACAAUAGUGGAUGGCUAACUAAUAAUAAAGGUGAUAAUAGUUAAGUAAUAAUGUAGAUACGAGCUUCGACGGGGAAACACAGGGAAAGGAAAGGAGCUCUAGAGUUUACCCGUGAACAAUGUGAAAGGGUGAAGGUAGUGGAUAUCUUAAUAAUAAUAACUAAUAAUAUAAUAAUAGUGGAUGGCUAACUAAUAAUAUAGAUGAUAAUAGUUAACUCAUAAUGUAGAUACGAGCUUCAACGGGGAAACACAGCGAAAGGAAAGUAAUUACAGAGUUUACCAAUGAAAGAGUGAAGUUAGUGAAUGGAUGACUACUAAUAAAGAUGAUAAUAACUAACUAAUAAUAUAGAUUCGUGCAACUACAGGGAAACACAGCGAAAGGAAAGUAAUUACAGAGUUUACCAAUGAAAGAAUGAAGGUAGUGAGUGAAUGACAACUACUAAUAAAAAUAAUGAUAACUAAUUAAUAAUGAAGGCAUGAGUUUGGACGAGGAAGCAGCGAAAGGAAAGACAUAUAGUUUACCCGUGAAAAAGAUGAAAGAGUGAAAAUAAAGAAUGGCUAAAUAAUAAAAAAAACAAUAAUAA